rnacentral:lncRNA from 1 species
UAGUGAUCUAAGUGCUCCACCUGCCUUUCAGUUUGUUUACCAGGAAAUCAAGAUGUGUAAACUGCAGGAAGUACUAUUUGACCCUCUCCGACAGUAUCUCAUUACAAUAAUUGCUAAUCUCUGAAUAAGACAGCCAUGUUUUGUGAGUAACUGAGAGAGAGGUUGUGUUAGGUAGAUUUUAGGUGUUCCAAGAAAUAGAGCAUUCUAAAUGCUUGCUUGGAUUAUGUUUUCAUUAUAGCUUUUGAUAAAAGACAUAUGGUGACCUUUGGGGUCAGCAAAUCUAGGACACAAUAGCAGGUAUUCUUUCAUGCCUUUUAACUGAAAGAAUAUCACGGCUUGUUGUUUUGGAGUGCUGUCACUGCUCUGAAUCGAAAGGAUAAUGGCUACUUCCUGAUUAAACCCACUCUCCACAGUAAGCUGCUAAUGUUAUACUGUCUUUUUCUCCUGUGAAUGCAAGAGUAUUUGAUGUUUGCUUUACUUUUUAUCAUUGUCUUUUCAUUGAUAGGUCUCUUACAAAU